AUGAAAUUUAGACUGAACUGGAUUUUCCUUCUGAGUAUUUUCCAAGGUGUUCAAUGUGAUGUGCAGCUGGUGGAGUCUGGGGGAGAUGUGAGACAACCUGGAGGUUCUCUUCGUCUCUCCUGCAAAGCUUCUGGAUUUACCUUCAGCAGCUGCUACAUGCAUUGUGUCCACCAGGCUCCAGGGAAGGGACUGGCAAGGGUUGCAGUUAUUGGUAGUAAUACAUAUUAUGCAGACUCUGUGAAAGGUCAAUUCACCAUCUCCAGAGAUGAUGGCAAGAGCAUGUUACAUCCACAGAUGAGUUCCCUUAAUACUGGGGAUACAGCUUUAUAUUACUGUGCAAAAGACAGUGAGGAAAAGGAAUGUGAGACCAAGAAACUUCCCUUGCCAGGAGGGGAGGUGCCAGUCAGUCCAGAAGGGGGCUGA